rnacentral:lncRNA from 1 species
UCUCAGUGAAACAUAGGCAUGUAUAUGUGUGGAUAUAUAUGUGUGCGUGUGCCUGUGUGUGUGUGUGUGUGUGUGUUGUGUACAUCUAUAUUCUAUUCCUAUCUACAUGUUUACAUGUUUAGUUCACAUACUUAUUUAUCGACCUCUUCCAGGUUAGCAGUGUUUUAGCUAGAUGGCUUUUGAGUUUCAGAGAGCAGUGGAAUGUGAAAGCUUUGUGAAAGCAUCCCCUCUAACCUCUUUACUUUGCAGAUGGGGGUUGAGACCCAGAGCUGGGGAGCGGGGAGACUCGGGUCUCAGGUCUGGGACUCCCAGCAGCCUGUUUGGGAAGAGGACGCAGAACGCCAGGCAGACUCAGCUCCACGCAGAUGCCAGUUGUGCUCGGAUAGGUGGAGCUUGUCUUCCAGGAGAGGAGUGGGCUCACCUGGGAGGACCCCAAAGGCGGAACAGAACACUGUGAGAAAGCAGCCCGUGAGGCUCCGAGAGGGCCACAGCUCCUCCCUGGAUCCUGCAGGCCAUUGGUCACAUCUGCACACACCUCCGGAGAACGUUGCCCCAGGUUUCCAGGGUCCGGAAAUCUCCCUGAACGAAGAACGAAGCGGGUGUGACUUGAACAGAGGAUAUGUUGGUUUGCUAGGCGUCUCUAACAAAGUACACAGACCGAAAAAAGAAAACAAAAAACAAAGUACGCAGACUGGGUGGCUGGAAACACCAGAAAUUUGUUCUCUCAUGGUUCUGGAGGUGAGAAGUCUGAAUGUGGGCAGGGUGGGUUCCUCCUGAGGGCCGGGAGGGGGUGGUCUGCUCCGUGCCUGUGUCCGGGCUUCUGGUGGUUUUCUGGCAAACCUUGGCGUUCCGUGGCUUGUAGACACAUCGCUCCAGUCUGCACCUGCGUCGUCAGAUGGCGUGUCCCCCGUGUGCGUGUCUUUGUCUCUUCUCUUCGAUUUAUGGGACAACAGUCAUAGAGGAUUCAGGGCCACUCUACGUCAGUGCGACCUUGUCUUAAUUGCAUCUGCAGCAACCCUAUUUCCAAAUAAGAUCAAUUCUGAAGUCCUGGGGGUGAGGACAUCGACAUAUCUUCAUUAGGGGACACAGUGCAGACUGUAACAGAGGGAACACGACUUGAUCGAGGCUCACAGCGUAUCCAUUGAUCAGUUCAUACGGCUCUGCCUCUGAUGCCUGAUUAAUACAAAAUUAACUUUCUGCUUCCUGAAAUUCUAGGAACUUCUGGCUUGUCGGCAGGUCCUACGCACCUAUGGUUCGGACAAAACGAGAUUUGCUUGGUGGAUAAAAAGAGAGAUCAGCUCGGGGCGCCUGGGUGGCUCAGUCAGUUAAGCAGCUGACAUCGGCUCAGGUCAUGAUCUCAAGGUCCGUGAGUUCGAGCCCCGCGUCGAGCUCUGUGCUGACCGCUCGGAGCCUGGAGCCUGUUUCAGAUUCUGUGUCUCCCUCUCUCUGACUCUCCCCCGUUCAUGCUCUGUCUCUCUCUGUCUCAAAAAUAAAUAAACGUUAAAAAAAAAAGAGAUCA